AUUGAACGCUGGCGGCAUGCCUUACACAUGCAAGUCGAACGGUAACGGGCCUUCGGGUGCCGACGAGUGGCGAACGGGUGAGUAAUGUAUCGGAACGUACCUUUCAGUGGGGGAUAACGUAGCGAAAGUUACGCUAAUACCGCAUAUUCUGUGAGCAGGAAAGCAGGGGAUCGCAAGACCUUGCGCUGAUUGAGCGGCCGAUAUCAGAUUAGCUAGUUGGGGAGGUAAAGGCUCACCAAGGCGACGGUCUGUAGCGGGUCUGAGAGGAUGAUCCGCCACACUGGAACGAAGACACGGUCCAGACUCCUACGGGAGGCAGCAGGGGGGAAUUUUGGACAAUGGGGGCAACCCUGAUCCAGCCAUGCCGCGUGAGUGAAGAAGGCCUUCGGGUUGUAAAGCUCUUUCGGCCGGGAAGAAAUCGUAUCAGCUAAUACCUGGUGCGGAUGACGGUACCGGCAUAAGAAGCACCGGCUAACUACGUGCCAGCCGCCGCGGUAAAAC
rnacentral:rRNA from 1 species